CCAGAAUUGAUUAAGCUGGACAUUCCGAAUCGGGACCUUGUCGAGGCAAGUUACCAAAAUUUCGGAAGAGAAACGGUCAAGGGUGAUAUAUAACCAGUCGCAACUAUGGAAAUCAUUUAUACAAUCGUUCAAACAAUAUCCAUCCGAGCAAGUUCUGUAAGGUGUAAUUAUCAAUAGAAGAAGAUGGAAGUAUUUCUGCUAGCUUUCCCCGGAGCACGAAACAUAUAUUCAUAUGUGUAGCUAUACACACACACUUAUAAGUAUAUAUUGCUACGUUCUUAUAUAUCAUUAUGUUUAUCUACCAAUACAUUUGUAUACGCGCUAAAAUAUCUAAGAUCUACGUAUAUGUAUCUAAUAUAAUCCUGUAAAAAAAGAUGAACAAAAUUCGAUACCUAAAUAGUAAAAUGAUCGAAAGGAUACACAUAUGGAUAUGGAGAAUGAUCGAUAUUGGAAAUCAAAAAAUAUAAAAAGGAUUCAAAAGCAGAAAAGAAAGAUGAAAGAAAAAAAAAAUUCCCCGAAACUUUAGAAUGGAUUCAAAACUAUUGAUAAAUUUAUGAUUGGAUUACCGCGGAAGAAAUGCUUGUCAUGGUGAGGAAAAUAGUGGGAGAAUAAUUUAAGUGAUUUAAAAGAAGAUACAAGCUAUUUGACGAGAGAUUGACAAGCUUAUUCUAAAUCAAGACGCCAACAUGAGCACCGCUAAUUAGUUCCAAAAGAAUAACGACAUUCUGGGAAAUAGAACAAUCAUCCAAACGGAAGUAAUCGGAAAAAUGCCUACAAUUCUGGAAUCGAUGUUGAGAAUCGCUGGUGUUAUGUUGCACUUCGUGUUCUGGUGAGGGUGCUUCGACGUCUGCCCGUCGGGAGACCAAGGAGAACUGAUCCGGUAACGGAGGCAAGUCAAAGUCAAUGAAAGGUUCGUUUCUGUUAUUAUUAGUUGAAGGCAACGAUUUAGAAUUCAAAAUUAAAGAAAAACUAUUUUAUGUUUUGUAACGCUUAAGCGAACUUUCUGUAUUGAAAUAUUAAUUUAUUCAAUUCCGCAUAUCAUUUAUAUAAAUGCAAAUGUUUCCAAAAUUAUUAAUUCUGAAAUAUUCACCUAUAGAAAGAGAGAGUUUUGAUAUUUGCUCGUCGGAAUACAAAGGAAAAUUCGGUUAAUUGUCAAAAUCAGCCAAAAGUUUCGUUUCGUUGUCUUUAUACAUUACCAUGACUGCCAGUUCGGAAUUUAAAUCUAGCAGAAAAUAAAUUAAAAUAACUUUCAAAAAUAAAAUUUAAAAUAAGUUUCAAAGUUUCUUUUAAAACUUAAAGUACUAUAAAAAUUACUAUAAAAAUAAUAAUUAUAAAUUUAUCAUAGGCCAAGUAAAAUGAUACAAAUUCUUCGUUCUAUCUCUAGAAGGAUGAUAAACAGCGAAUUAAUGAUAGUUUUAUAUUUUUCCGUAUUAAUCCUUUGUAUUCUGCCCCGUCUUUGCCGUUAAUUAGCAGGAAAUUCGUCACUCGAACAUGGUAUAUACUAUACCAUAUGAUAUCGCAUAACUUUAAAGCCCGCUAAUAUAUUGUAACGUUAUUUGAUUUAUAUGAAUUUGUAGACAUUUAGGAUCACAUUGUUUUACAAAAAAUCAGAACUUUAUUCCUUAUGAUUUUGUACAGUAAGACAAAUUUUGAGGUAGUACCUUUACAUUAUCAUUUUCAUUACUAUCUUCAUCAAUGAGAUAUCUUAGUUUUUUUGGCGAUUUCUCUGAGGCGAUAUCCAGAAGCAAAAAUAGUUGAAAUGAAAUUGAAAAAAUAAACUGAAUUCAGAAAGGGAAUUAAUAUUAAAAAGUAAUUGUUAAAAUAAAAAAAGAAUUAGAUUUGAAACAAUGAAAAAGGAUCAAGAAGGAAAUAAGAUUUAUAAUAAAAUAAAAAAAAAAUAUUAGAAUGACCUUUUUUAAAUUUUAAUCUAAAAUAAUUUUUUUUCAAUGUUAAUUUAAAAUAAUUAUUUUUUAAUUUUUUUUUUACAAUAAAUUCAAGAAAAUUUUUAAAUCAAAGAGAAAACUUUAAAAUCAAAAAGAAAAUAGAUGUGUUAUUAAUUUAUCAAUAAUUUAAUUUCUUUUGUACGUUUAUGGAUUCAUAGAUAAAUAUGGGUAGAUGAAAGUUAUCGGAGUGCGUAUAUGAAUAUAUAGGUAUGUGAAUCUAAUUAUAUAUGGGUACGUAGUGAUAUAUACAUGUAUGUGUCUAUGUAUAUCUAUGCAUAUGUAUAUAAUCUAUGUUUGAAACUAAUCAGAAAAGUAUAUUCAUGUACGUAAUGAACUUAGGAAGGACUACUGAAAAUAGUUCGAUCUUACGAGACUCCCUACAAACCAAACAAUAACUUAUAAUAUUGCAUGAUCAUUGACAGUCUGAUACAAAAAAAUUCAAAUAUGAUGUAUGUUACCAAGUAUAUACUAUUCUUGACAAUAGUAGUACCUUUUUUGGAACUUCUUAUAACUUGUCAAUGCGAAUGAAAUCAGAAUGAAUAGUAUGUCCAACACUCGCAAAUAUGGACUGUGUAUACCCACUCAAUGAAUAAAAUAAUUUAAAAUAUAAAA